UUGGUGCACGUGCUCCGGGCUGGGGGGCUGGCCUCUUAAAAUCCAGUGGGUGUGGGGCCGGGGCCCUCUGCUGGGGUCAUCUCUGAAUCCUAUUAGUUCUUUGAAAUCAUUAAAACCGUGUGUGGCUCAUGAGAGUCUUGGCACUGCAUUAACACAACUUCUACAGUCCUGGAAGGAAGUAUUCAGUUCUCCGGGAACAGUCCUGCUCCAACGGCCUCGGCUCCACCCAGACACUGAGAACCUCUUCUUAGCUGAGGUCGAGCAGGAACAGAAAUCGGGAAGUACUGAUCUGUGAUUCAACAGUCUUGCACAAUUCACAGCGUGGAGACCCAAUUCUUAUUCACCUUCUGGUAAAUGGAGCCACCAGACUCUGCCCCACUUUCACUUCUGCGUGAAGCUGGACUUGCAGUUGCUUAUUUAAGCAACAAAAUUUCAGCCACAUCUGCCAUCUUCCAGUAAUUCGCCAAAAUGACCAACACAAAGGGAAAGAGGAGAGGCACCUGCUAUAGCCUCUCUAAGCCUCUCAGAAAAUGUGGAGUCGUUCCUUUGGCCACAUAAGUGCAAAUCCACAAGAAAGGUAACACUGUGGCAGAUCUGGAAGAGUCUGUGUGUCACCCAGCAUGCUGUGCGCAUCAUUGUAAACACACAAGUUAAGGGCAGGUUUCCUGCCAAGAGAAUUAAUGUGCCCAAUGAGUGUAUUAAGCACUCAAAAUGCCGAGCUAGCUUCCUGAGGCGUGUGAAGGAAAAUGAUCAGAAAGAGAAGGAAGCUGAAGAGAAAGGUACUCGGGUACUUGGUUCCAUUCGAGUUAAUCUGUCCCACCCAGAGAUGCACCCUGUGAGAACCAUGGAAAGGAGCCUGAGCAGCGGGAACCCAUUCCCUACGGAUUCAUGGCCUGAUAACUGUAAAAAAAAAAAAAAAAAAAAAAAAAAGAGACCUCAAGACUAUAAAACCGUUUCUCUUUGUUGAGUAGAAGUGUGGUGUCCCCUCCCCCAAAGAAAUAUUUAAAGCAAACUUUGGUUGUGUCCUAAUUCAUUGGGUGAUGUCUUCACUCAAAUUUAGUGUUUUUUUUUUUUCUUGCUGAAAGAUGUGGUUUAUUGUGCAACAGAAUAUAUUCAACUGGUGAGGGAACUGCCAGAUAUUACUUAUAAAAUAUCUAUAGUAGUUUGAAAAUAGUCCCUCUAAAUCACCAAGAGAAAAGAAUUUUAAAAAUAAACAACAGAUUAUUUGCUCUAAGUCAGGCUCAGAGAAAACUGAGUACUCAUAAUUGUGUCCUGUCUUAAACAGCUGUGUUUUAAGCAUAAGGACCUUGCCUUUGAAGCCUGAUACUUAAAAAUAGAUUGUUUACAGCACCCUGGUUCCUACUAAAAUGUUUUCCCUGACAUUUCCUUUUACUGUUUUCAUACAUGGCCCUCUAGCGACUGGGAAACAUGUUUUAUUGGAACUGCUCUUUCUGGCCCUGUUCAUUUGUACUUGCUUUUGCUUGAAAUACCUGUACUUUCUUUGUUCAGUAGGUGAAUCCCUGCCUGUCCUUUGUCCAACCUGAGUGUCCAGGUGAACCUUCCCUGACCCAAGUAUUUUUAGGAGAAAUGAAAGUGCUUGGAAUCAGAGGAGAGAGCUUACUCCUGCUUUGGGAUGCAGAAUAAAAUCCCUUCUAUCUCUUCCCCUGUCGUGGGGACACGGCAGGCAUGUUUGUUUUUCUUGUGGGUUUUAUAAUUUUUAAAAAGUUCUGUCUUCCCCAUGAGACCUGAGGUUAGAGACUGUGUUUUAGUAAACUUCACACUCCUAGGGACUGGCACACAGUGAGCAUUUAAAAAAUGCACUUUGAAUUAAG